GACGAACGCUGGCGGCGUGCUCAACACAUGCAAGUCGAACGGGCCCGCUCUCUUUUUUGGGGGUGGGUUGAGUGGCGAACGGGUGAGUAUCACGUGAGUAACCUGCCCCCUGCUCCUGGAUAACUGCUUGAAAGGGCGGCUAAUACGGGGUGUGCCGGCUGGUCCGCAUGGGCCUGGUCGGGAUAGUUUCAUCUUCGGGUGUUUCGGUGGGGGAUGGGCUCGCGGCCUAUCAGCUUGUUGGUGGGGUGAUGGCCCACCAAGGCGGUGACGGGUAGCCGGCCUGAGAGGGUGGGCGGCCACACUGGGACUGAGACACGGCCCAGACUCCUGCGGGAGGCAGCAGUGGGGGGUAUUGCACAAUGGGCGGAAGCCUGAUGCAGCGACGUCGCGUGAGGGAUGGAGGCCUUCGGGUUGUGAACCUCUUUCUCCGGUGGUGAAGGCCCUGUCCGUUGCGGCGGGGUUGACGGUAGCCGGGUAUGAAGCGCCGGCUAACUACGUG
rnacentral:rRNA from 1 species